UACGUAGGGUGCGAGCGUUGCCCGGAUUUAUUGGGCGUAAAGGGCGCGUAGGCGGCCUGGCGCGUCGGCUGUGAAAUCUCCCGGCUCAACUGGGAGGGGACGGCCGAUACGGCUGGGCUUGAGCGAGGUAGGGGAGAGUGGAAUUCCCGGUGUAGUGGUGGAAUGCGUAGAUAUCGGAAAGAACACCAACGGCGAAAGCACUCUGCUGGGCCGACACUGACACUGAGAGACGAAAGCUAGGGGAGCGAAUGGG
rnacentral:rRNA from 1 species